CUCUGCUCUACUGGAGGAUCCACACUGUAAACUGGAGAAACUAUAUAUUUGACAGUGGAAACUCCACAAGCUCCAAACAAGUGACUCAAAACAACACGUCCUGAACAAGACUGUCACCUGGACAAAUGCUGAUACUGAUCCAGCAGUUU